GACGAACGCUGGCGGCGUGCUUAACACAUGCAAGUCGAACGAUGAACUCCAGCUUGCUGGGGGGAUUAGUGGCGAACGGGUGAGUAACACGUGAGUAACCUGCCCUUGACUCUGGGAUAAGCGCUGGAAACGGCGUCUAAUACCGGAUACGAGCUUCAGCCGCAUGGCUAGGAGUUGGAAAGAAUUUUGGUCAAGGAUGGACUCGCGGCCUAUCAGCUAGUUGGUGAGGUAAUGGCUCACCAAGGCGACGACGGGUAGCCGGCCUGAGAGGGUGACCGGCCACACUGGGACUGAGACACGGCCCAGACUCCUACGGGAGGCAGCAGUGGGGAAUAUUGCACAAUGGGCGCAAGCCUGAUGCAGCAACGCCGCGUGUGGGACGACGGCCUUCGGGUUGUAAACCUCUUUUAGUAGGGAAGAAGCGAAAGUGACGGUACCUGCAGAAAAAGCACCGGCUAACUACGUGCCAGCAGCCGCGGUAAUACCUAGGGUGCAAGCGUUGUCCGGAAUUAUUGGGCGUAAAGAGCUCGUAGGCGGUUUGUCGCGUCUGCUGUGAAAUCUGGGGGCUCAACCCCCAGCCUGCAGUGGGUACGGGCAGACUAGAGUGCGGUAGGGGAGAUUGGAAUUCCUGGUGUAGCGGUGGAAUGCGCAGGUAUCAGGAGGAACACCGAUGGCGAAGGCAGAUCUCUGGGCCGUAACUGACGCUGAGGAGCGAAAGCGUGGGGAGCGAACAGGAUUAGAUACCCUGGUAGUCCACGCCGUAAACGUUGGGAACUAGAUGUGGGGACCAUUCCACGGUCUCCGUGUCGCAGCUAACGCAUUAAGUUCCCCGCCUGGGGAGUACGGCCGCAAGGCUAAAACUCAAAGGAAUUGACGGGGGCCCGCACAAGCGGCGGAGCAUGCGGAUUAAUUCGAUGCAACGCGAAGAACCUUACCAAGGCUUGACAUAUACCGGAAACGGCCAGAGAUGGUCGCCCCGCAAGGUCGGUAUACAGGUGGUGCAUGGUUGUCGUCAGCUCGUGUCGUGAGAUGUUGGGUUAAGUCCCGCAACGAGCGCAACCCUCGUUCUAUGUUGCCAGCACGUUAUGGUGGGAACUCAUAGGAGACUGCCGGGGUCAACUCGGAGGAAGGUGGGGAUGACGUCAAAUCAUCAUGCCCCUUAUGUCUUGGGCUUCACGCAUGCUACAAUGGCCGGUACAAAGGGCUGCGAUACCGUAAGGUGGAGCGAAUCCCAAAAAGCCGGUCUCAGUUCGGAUUGAGGUCUGCAACUCGACCUCAUGAAGUCGGAGUCGCUAGUAAUCGCAGAUCAGCAACGCUGCGGUGAAUACGUUCCCGGGCCU
rnacentral:rRNA from 1 species